CCUACGGGGGGCAGCAGGGAGGAAUAUUGGUCAAUGGACGAGAGUCUGAACCAGCCAAGUAGCGUGAAGGAUGACUGCCCUAUGGGUUGUAAACUUCUUUUAUAUGGGAAUAAAACGUUCCACGUGUGGGAUUUUGUAUGUACCAUAUGAAUAAGGAUCGGCUAACUCCGUGCCAGCAGCCGCGGUAAUACGGAGGAUCCGAGCGUUAUCCGGAUUUAUUGGGGUUAAAGGGAGCGUAGGUGGAUUGUUAAGUCAGUUGUGAAAGUUUGCGGCUCAACCGUAAAAUUGCAGUUGAAACUGGCAGUCUUGAGUACAGUAGAGGUGGGCGGAAUGCGUGGUGUAGCGGUGAAAUGCUUAGAUAUCACGAAGAACUCCGAUUGCGAAGGCAGUUCACUGGACUGCAACUGACACUGAGGCUCGAAAGUGUGGGUAUCAAACAGGAUUAGAUACCCGUGUAGUC
rnacentral:rRNA from 1 species